GUGAUUCUGGUAACAGAAACUAGCAGUGUCGAUUGGGCUUUGGAAAUAUCAAGUCUGCAGGAUCUUGUCCACAAAGGGGCAAAUAUAUAGGUUCUGACAGUCAGUUCAGUGGUCAUGAUACCAGUGCCAGAGGCCAGAGAAGAUCCCAUUUCAAGGCCCCUCCACAGCAGAC